rnacentral:tRNA from 1 species
GUGGUCAUGGCUUAGCUGGUUAAGAGCACUGGCUGCUCUUCCAGAGGUCCUGAGUUCAAUUCCCAGCAACCACA